UACGUAGGGUGCGAGCGUUAAUCGGAAUUACUGGGCGUAAAGCGUGCGCAGGCGGUUAUAUAAGACAGUUGUGAAAUCCCCGGGCUCAACCUGGGAAUUGCAUCUGUGACUGUAUAGCUAGAGUACGGUAGAGGGGGAUGGAAUUCCGCGUGUAGCAGUGAAAUGCGUAGAUAUGACGGAGGAACACCGAUGGCGAAGGCAAUCCCCUGGACCUGUACUGACGCUCAUGCACGAAAGCGUGGGGAGCAAACGAGG
rnacentral:rRNA from 1 species